AUAAAUAUAGAAUUAGUGGGGCGUUACUUCCCCUUAAUAGCCGUGAUAUAGUCAAUAACCGUUCGUGACGGUUAUGAUAUGUUGAGCAGAUUGCCGACCAUAUGUCGGUAUAACCGACUUUAUGUCGGCAGAAUCUAUGAGCGACCGUCGGCUAUUAGCUCUGUCAUGCCGACGCAUACCGACGGUCUAAGUUGUCCGCUGUCGAUCAGUGGUAGUCGAAUACUAGUCGGUCAAUCGAUCGUAGUUGAUUAGCUGACAGUAGGUCGGUGCACUUAGCUCAAUCAUUCGAUGGAG
rnacentral:lncRNA from 1 species